CGGAACGUGCCAUUGAGUGGGGGAUAACGUAGCGAAAGUUGCGCUAAUACCGCAUAUUCUGUGAGCAGGAAAGCAGGGGACCGCAAGGCCUUGCGCUCUUUGAGCGGCCGAUGUCAGAUUAGCUAGUUGGUGAGGUAAAGGCUUACCAAGGCGACGAUCUGUAGCGGGUCUGAGAGGAUGAUCCGCCACACUGGAACUGAGACACGGUCCAGACUCCUACGGGAGGCAGCAGUGGGGAAUUUUGGACAAUGGGGGCAACCCUGAUCCAGCCAUGCCGCGUGAGUGAAGAAGGCCUUCGGGUUGUAAAGCUCUUUCGGCCGGGAAGAAAUCGCAUGGGUCAAUACCCUGUGUGGAUGACGGUACCGGAAUAAGAAGCACCGGCUAACUACGUGCCAGCAGCCGCGGUAAUACGUAGGGUGCGAGCGUUAAUCGGAAUUACUGGGCGUAAAGCGUGCGCAGGCGGUUUUGUAAGACAGGCGUGAAAUCCCCGGGCUUAACCUGGGAACUGCGUUUGUGACUGCAAGGCUAGAGUACGGCAGAGGGGGGUGGAAUUCCACGUGUAGCAGUGAAAUGCGUAGAGAUGUGGAGGAACACCAAUGGCGAAGGCAGCCCCCUGGGUCGAUACUGACGCUCAUGCACGAAAGCGUGGGUAGCAAACAGGAUUAGAUACCCUGGUUGUCCACGCCCUAAACUAUGUCAACUAGGUGUUGGGUGGGUAAAACCAUUUAGUACCGUAGCUAACGCGUGAAGUUGACCGCCUGGGGAGUACGGCCGCAAGGUUAAAACUCAAAGGAAUUGACGGGGACCCGCACAAGCGGUGGAUGAUGUGGAUUAAUUCGAUGCAACGCGAAAAACCUUACCUACCCUUGACAUGCCAGGAACUUGCCAGAGAUGGCUUGGUGCCCGAAAGGGAGCCUGGACACGUGCUGCAUGGCUGUCGUCAGCUCGUGUCGUGAGAUGUUGGGUUAAGUCCCGCAACGAGCGCAACCCUUGUCGUUAAUUGCCAUCAUUUGGUUGGGCACUUUAACGAGACUGCCGGUGACAAACCGGAGGAAGGUGGGGAUGACGUCAAGUCCUCAUGGCCCUUAUGGGUAGGGCUUCACACGUCAUACAAUGGUCGGUACAAAGGGUUGCCAAGCCGCGAGGCGGAGCCAAUCCCAGAAAGCCGAUCGUAGUCCGGAUUGCAGGCUGCAACUCGCCUGCAUGAAGUCGGAAUCGCUAGUAAUCGUGGAUC
rnacentral:rRNA from 1 species